UUAAAGUUGUUGCAGUUAAAAAGCUCGUAGUUGAACCUUGGGCCUGGCUGGCCGGUCCGCCUCACCGCGUGUACUGGUCCGGCCGGGCCUUUCCUUCUGGGGAACCGCAUGCCCUUCACUGGGCGUGUUGGGGAACCAGGACUUUUACUUUGAAAAAUUUAGAGUGUUCAAAGCAGGCCUUUGCUCGAAUACAUUAGCAUGGAAUAAUA
rnacentral:rRNA from 1 species